CUCAAAGGAAUUGACGGGGACCCGCACAAGCGGUGGAUGAUGUGGUUUAAUUCGAUGCAACGCGAAAAACCUUACCCACCUUUGACAUGUACGGAACCCUUUGGAGACAGAGGGGUGCUCGAAAGAGAGCCGUAACACAGGUGCUGCAUGGCUGUCGUCAGCUCGUGUCGUGAGAUGUUGGGUUAAGUCCCGCAACGAGCGCAACCCUUGUCAUUAGUUGCUACGAAAGGGCACUCUAAUGAGACUGCCGGUGACAAGCCGGAGGAAGGUGGGGAUGACGUCAAGUCCUCAUGGCCCUUAUAGGUGGGGCUACACACGUCAUACAAUGGCUGGUACAGAGGGUUGCCAACCCGCGAGGGGGAGCCAAUCCCAUAAAACCAGUCGUAGUCCGGAUCGCAGUCUGCAACUCGACUGCGUGAAGUCGGAAUCGCUAGUAAUCGCGGAUCAGCAUGUCGCGGUGAAUACGUUCCCGGGUCUUGUACACACCGCCCGUCACACCAUGGGAGCGGG
rnacentral:rRNA from 1 species